rnacentral:ncRNA from 1 species
UCAAAGGGGUGCUCCUGUAUGGAGCUGAGAUUAUACCCUCAGAACCUGAUGCGGGUAAUGCCGCCGAAGGGAUUGGG